AGGAAGUGGUGAGAUUCUUAGAUUAGUAUGUCUUUUUUUCAAUUUCUCUAAUCUCUAGAUCGCGAAUUUGUUCUUGUUUGUUCUCAUCUUGUUUAAACUGAUGUGAUCGUGCUAUCUUGUUUUGCGAUUUUGUGAGUUAGGGUUUCAAGUUUCCUGAAUCGUUCGUUGAAUCUACACGGAAGCGCUUGACUCAGCGUGAAACCGUCGUUGAGUGUGUGUUUAUGUGGAGAAGGCAUAACAACUGAAGACAAGUUUGAAUCUGUGAGCCGAACAGCUGAAGCAACAAAACAGAUAAGCUCUUUUUUACUUCCUUUUUUUUUUGUUUGUUUUUUUCCCAAUCCAAGAGAUGGUUUUUAUCAAAACAGAGAAGCUUUGUUUUGGUUUUUCAUCAAACCCCAAAAAAGGAUUAUAAGCAGACACUAAUCUAAUAGUGUGCUGACAGAUUCUCAUUUGGGGACAUUGUCCGGUUGCCUGAAGCCUUAGUAGACCCAUAGAAAAUUUUCAAUCAUGGUAGUGCAUGUCUAAAAGAGGGGGACAUUUUCCGGUUGGUGGUAGUGCAUGUCUAAAAGAUGGGAACAUUGUCCGGUUGAUGGUAGUGCAAAAAUGGAAAGUAUGACAUACUUUAGUUACCCACGGCUUACAUAAACAACAAGAAACGGCUUAAGAAAAGUCUUUAGACAGAGACUGAGAUGGUACCCACGGCUUAUUACUGUUGGAUGCAAAUGUCCAGUGGCUUUCAAAAUAGUCUUUAGACAAAAAAGACUAUGAAACGUUGGAUGGAUCAAAUGACCCACAGGUCCACAACUUACCAAAAAAAAAAGUCUUUGGACACACAAAGAGUAAGAAUGUUCGAUGGAUUAAACGACAAACAAAACAUCAUAAAGACUAUGAAUGUUUGGAUGGAUAAAACGACAAAAACAAAGAAUAUGAGUUACCCACGGCUUAUAAAGGCUUUAAACAAAGACCUUGACUUCUAUGAAGAGUCUUUAGACAAUAUCUACCCACGGCUUGUGAAAAAGUUUUUAGACAGGCACUUUGACGAAGACAUACUCUUCUCAAUAACAAAAAGCUUAAGAAAAGUCUUUAGACAGAGACUGAGAUGGUACCCACGGCUUAUUACUGUUAGAUGGAAAUGUACAGUGGCUUUCAAAAUAGUCUUUAGACAAAAAGACUAUGAAACAUUGGAUGGAUCAAACGACCCAUAAGUCAACAACUUACCAAGAAAAAAAAGUCUUUAGACACACAAAGAGUAAGAAUGUUUGGAUGGAUAAAACGACAAAAACAAAGAGUAUGAGUUACCCACGGCUUAUAAAGGCUUAUGAAAGUUUUUUUGACAUUGCUUGUUACACACGGCUUAUGAAAAAGUCUUUAGAACAAUUGAGUUAAGACAGCUUUAUGAAAACUCUUUAGACAAUACUACUGCCCACGGCAUUACAAAGGCUUUUGUAGACAAAGACUCAACUCAACUUGGACGAUACUACUAUUACCCACGGCUUAUAAAGGCUUUAAACAAAGACCUUGACUUCUAUGAAGAGUCCAUAACUUACCAAAAAAAAAAAUUCUUUAGACACACAAAGAGUAUGAGUUACCCACGGCUUAUAAAGGCUUUAAACAAAGACCUUGCCUUCUAUGCAGAGUCUUUAGAUAAUAUCUACCCACGGCUUAUGAAAAGUUUUUAGACAGAGACUUUGACUUGUUUGUUACACACGGCUUAUGAAAAAGUCUAUAGAACAAUUGAGUUAAAACAGCUUUUAUGAAGAGUAUUUAGAACAAUACUACUGCCCACGGCAUUACAAAGGCUUUUUUGGACAAAGACUCAACUCAACUUGGACAGUACUACUAUUACCCCCGGCUUAUAAAAGGUCUUAAAGAUAGAAACUAUAAACCCUUUAGACUUCUAAGUUUAUUGGAUGUGAAACGACUAACAGUGGAUGAAAAAAGUGACCACCAGUUUAAAGAGGUCUUAAGGAAAACCUAUUUUACUUGUUGGAUGGGAAACAAACUACCUGCAGCUUAGAAAAGUCUUAAAACAGAGACUAUGAACCAAAAACCAUAUCUACACAAGGCUUCAGAGAAAGACCAACGGCUUAAAAGACGAAUAAUAUGAAACAAAACAGACUCUUUAUGACAUAGACUACAUGUCAGUGUUUAGCUUGUUGGAUGGGAAAAAACGACCAACGGCUUAAA